CUUCAUCUGACUCUCCCCUCUCCCUUGGCUUGAGGUCCUAGGCCUAUAGGCCUCUUAGCCCAUUAUUUUUCUCCUGAAACCUUUUUUUUCACAUAUCCUCCCUCUGUCUUGACAUAGUUAAGGCCAUAUUGGGCCUUUGGAUGGGCCCUGAUCCGACUGCUUCUUCUACCCACGCACCUUAGGUGGCUCAGAUACACCCCUGCCUCACUUUCGUUUUUGUUUUUUUUUCAUUUUUGAUUACUUUUUUUUCCUUUUUCUUUGUUUUGUUUGAAUUUCAAUUUAGAAUCAUUUUAAUGCAUUUUUACAUGGAAAUACUUUGAAAAAUACUUAGAAAAUAAUACUUAGAUUUUAUUGUUUCAUUUGUUUUUACCAUUUAAUUCAUAUUUUGAGAAAAUAAUAAAAACAAUACACAUUAGUUUAGCAAUAAAUCAUUAGUAUUAUAAUUUAUUGUCCAUUAGAUCUUUUUAGAAAUAUUAAACAUGUUCAUAUUAGAUUAGUUUGAUU
rnacentral:lncRNA from 1 species